GAUGAACGCUGGCGGCGUGCCUAAUACAUGCAAGUCGAGCGAACAGACGAGGAGCUUGCUCCUCUGACGUUAGCGGCGGACGGGUGAGUAACACGUGGAUAACCUACCUAUAAGACUGGGAUAACUUCGGGAAACCGUAUCUAAUACCGGAUAAUAUAUUGAACCGCAUGGUUCAAUAGUGAAAGACGGUUUUGCUGUCACUUAUAGAUGGAUCCGCGCCGCAUUAGCUAGUUGGUAAGGUAACGGCUUACCAAGGCAACGAUGCGUAGCCGACCUGAGAGGGUGGUCGGCCACACUGGAACUGAGACACGGUCCAGACUCCUACGGGAGGCAGCAGUAGGGAAUCUUACGCGAGGGGGGAAAGCCUGACGGAGCAACGCCGCGUGAGUGAUGAAGGUCUUCGGAUCGUAAAACUCUGUUAUUAGGGAAGAACAAAUGUGUAAGUAACUAUGCACGUCUUGACGGUACCUAAACAGAAAGCCACGGCUAACUACGUG
rnacentral:rRNA from 1 species